rnacentral:pre_miRNA from 1 species
CUUGCCCUUGGUGAGGACUCGGGAGGUGGAGGGUGGCAUCGUCAGGGCCUGGGCACUAUCUCAGCUCGCUUCUCCCCCCACCUCCUCUCUCCUCAGGUGCGGCUGCAG